rnacentral:tRNA from 1 species
AAGUUAUUAGACUCAUGAUCUAAAUAAAGAUUAAUUUCUUUUAUAAA